GCGGAGGAGGGGCGCCAGGGCGGCGCGGGCCCGGGGCCACCUGCUGGCCGAGCCGCUGCUCCCCGGGGCGCCGCUUCCGCCUGGCCGAGCGCGGCGCCCCGAGGAGGCGGGAGGCCGCGGCGCAGCGCCCUGGGCCGGGCCCGCCGCGGGGCCUGGGCUCGCGGACCCUUGGUCGCCGCCCGCCCCGGAGCUGGAGCCGCCGCGGCCGCGGCUGCGGGCCGGGAACUUACCCUUUGCCGUCUGCGAGGCCGGCGGAGGUGGAGCGCGGGCUCGGUUCCGGCGGACUCGGUCCGAGGGGAGUUGGGGUGCGGGGGCUGUGCCCCAGGUCGAACGCCGGUGCUCGACGGACGCGGGGCGGGGGCGGGUUUGUGUCCCGCGCCUCCUGGGGGCAGCGCCGACCGCGGGCGCCCCGGAGCGGAACGGAAAGGAAUUCGGCCCGGGGAGAGCGUGCUGAACGCGGCGACACGCCGGACCGAAAGCCCCGGCGGGCGUGCGGAGGGCACGGACGGCCCGGCCCUACGGCCCCCGGCUCGGGGAGACCGGCCACUCCGCGUGGCCCUCACCCCGGAAGCAAAACUGGACCAGGGCAGGGUCUGGCCAAGCUGCCCAGGCCGCCCUCCAACUUGUCAUCCUGCCACCUCCGCUGCCCAAGUCCCUGGGAUCACAGGGGUGAGCAGAAUAAAUGCCUCUGUUUAAUCUGCCAUGAAAACUGGAAACUUCUCUCCGCCUUCCUAAACAGUAGUGUGAUAUGGGGAGGAAGAGAGUGAAAGAGAGGUAUCGCACCUGCAGAGGAAAUUAUCAGUUGGAGAGAGGGGACAAGAUGCUUCCCCCUAAGAUCAGGAACAGGACAAGGCCAUCUGCUCUCACCACUCCUAUGCAACGUUAUCUUGAAAGUCUGAGGUACUGCAAAGACAACACAAUGAAAUAAAAGGUAUGCAGGUUGGGAAGUAAGAAAUAAAACUGUCUUUACUGGCAUCUGACGUGAUUGUCUAUGUAGAAAUUCCAAAAAAAUCAAUAGAAUGAAUACUUGAUCGUAGUAAGGACACAAUAUGAGGUUAAUAUAAAAAAGUCAAUCGCAAUUUUAUAUACCAACAAUGAAGAAGGAAUUUGGAACACACAAAAACAUUUACAUUGGCACUUCAAAGGAAAGAGGUUAGGUAUAAAUCUAACAAAAUGUGAAUAAGCUCUAUAAUAGGAAAACUACAAAGCUCUGAUGAAAGAAGAUAUAAAUGAAGAGAUAUACUUCAUGCAUAAAAAUAGGAUGACAAUGCUGCCAACUGUCAUUUCUGACUCCAUCUAUAGACUCAAUGUGUUCCCAAAGAAUAGCACAGAAAUAUGACCACCAAGCUAUUACCAAACUGGUCUUUAGCAAAAGAGUAAAGGCAAUGCAAUGGAGAAUGGACAGCCUUUUCAACAGAUGGUUCUGGAACAAGUGGACAUCUACACACAAAAAGUCACUGCAGACAUCUUUCACAAGUUAAUGAAAUUAAAUCAGACCUAAAUGUAAAACAAAACUAGUAAACUUCCGAAAGAUAAGAGAAGUGAUCUUGGGUUUGGUGAUAACUUCUCAAAACAACAAAAAAAUUCUCGAAAGAAAAAUAAUGACAAUUGACUUCAUUAAAAUUUUAAAAAAUUGUUCUGGGAAAGACAUACAGAUAAUUAAAUGACAAAAUAUAUGAAGAACUCUUCAAACUCCACGGUCCGAAUUUUUUAAAAGGCAGAGGGGAGACCCAAACAGACUUCUCACCAAAGAAAAACAACUAAAUAAAUAUGUAAAGAGAUGUUCAGCACCAUAUGUCAUUAAGGAAUUACAAAUUAAGUCAGCAAUGAGAUACUUCUACACACUUACAUUACAUAGCUAAAAUCCAAAACAGUGAUAACACCAAAUGUCAGUGGAGAUGUGGAGAUCACAGCACCUUUACAACAGUUUGGCCAUUUCUUACAAAAGUGCAUGUACUCAUGUCAUUCCGCAUGAGUUGAAAUUUCCUGUCCACACAAAAAGACUGCACACAAAUGUUUAUAACAGCUUGAUUAAUAAUUGCCAACACUUGAAAGCAACAGAGGGGUUCUUUGGUAGGUGGAUGGAUAAACUGACUGUGGUGUAGCCAUGCAGUGUAAUAUUAUUAAGUGAUGAAGUGAUCUAUAAGGACACAAAAAAGACUUAGUAUAACUUUUUUUUUUAAUUUUUUUUUUAUUUUUGGUACCAGGGAUUGAACUCGGUAUCUUGCACUUGCAAGGCAGGCAGCAGAACCACUGAGCUAAAUCCCUGGCCCGACUUAGUAUAACUUUAAAUGCAUAUUGGGGAGAGAAAGAAGCCAAUCCUCAAAGGCCACACGUAGUAUAGUCCCAUCUCUCUGACAUUCUGGAAAAGGCAAAAGUACAAAGUAGUAAAAAGAUCUGUGGUUGUUGAGAGUCACAGGGAGGGAAAGAUGGCUGAGUAGGUGGAGCGCUGGGGAAUUUUAGGACAGUGAGACUGCUGUGUGAUGCCCUCACGAUGAGUGCACAACACUGUACCAUUGUAAGGCCCUUAAAAUGUACAGCACUCUGAUGUAAACUACAGUCUAGUUAAUAAUAAUGUGUCUGUAUCGGCUCACCCAUGAUAACAAGUGCACUAUAAUAAUGCAAGGUGUUACUAGAGGAAAUGUAGAGAGUGAGUUCUCUAAAAUGAUAGUUUAUUGAACACAAUUUUUAAUUAAAAGGAGAAAUUUAAAAAUCAAUUCUUUGAGGAAUUUGUUGCAGUGAUAGAAAUGUCUGUAUCUGGACUAGAUUGGUGGUCAUACGUGCG
ensembl:lncRNA